CUCCUUUUCUCAACCUUUUGGCUAAAGAUCAAGUGUAGUAUCUGUUCUUAUCAGUUUAAUAUAUGAUAUGUGGACCAUUGGUCCGCACUAUAUUAACUCUAUUUUUUGAGGGGAAGGUCCAUUAAGGUAGCUUGCUAUGUAAUGACCCUUCAGGUCAUUUUUCAUAUUUAUGUUUAUCUUCA
rnacentral:snRNA from 1 species